CAUUUGUGCAAUGAAUAUUUGUA
rnacentral:siRNA from 1 species